rnacentral:rRNA from 1 species
AAAUUGAAGAGUUUGAUCAUGGCUCAGAUUGAACGCUGGCGGCAGGCCUAACACAUGCAAGUCGAACGGUAACAGGAAUCAGCUUGCUGAUUUGCUGACGAGUGGCGGACGGGUGAGUAAUGUCUGGGAAACUGCCUGAUGGAGGGGGAUAACUACUGGAAACGGUAGCUAAUACCGCAUAAUGUCGCAAGACCAAAGAGGGGGACCUUCGGGCCUCUUGCCAUCGGAUGUGCCCAGAUGGGAUUAGCUAGUAGGUGGGGUAACGGCUCACCUAGGCGACGAUCCCUAGCUGGUCUGAGAGGAUGACCAGCCACACUGGAACUGAGACACGGUCCAGACUCCUACGGGAGGCAGCAGUGGGGAAUAUUGCACAAUGGGCGCAAGCCUGAUGCAGCCAUGCCGCGUGUAUGAAGAAGGCCUUCGGGUUGUAAAGUACUUUCAGCGGGGAGGAAGGGAGUAAAGUUAAUACCUUUACUCAUUGACGUUACCCGCAGAAGAAGCACCGGCUAACUCCGUGCCAGCAGCCGCGGUAAUACGGAGGGUGCAAGCGU